rnacentral:rRNA from 1 species
AGUGAACGCUGGCGGUAGGCCUAACACAUGCAAGUCGAACGGCAGCACAGUAAGAGCUUGCUCUUACGGGUGGCGAGUGGCGGACGGGUGAGGAAUACAUCGGAAUCUACUUUUUCGCGGGGGAUAACGUAGGGAAACUUACGCUAAUACCGCAUACGACCUACGGGUGAAAGCAGGGGAUCUUCGGACCUUGCGCGAUUGAAUGAGCCGAUGUCGGAUUAGCUAGUUGGCGGGGUAAAGGCCCACCAAGGCGACGAUCCGUAGCUGGUCUGAGAGGAUGAUCAGCCACACUGGAACUGAGACACGGUCCAGACUCCUACGGGAGGGAGCAGUGGGGAAUAUUGGACAAUGGGCGCAAGCCUGAUCCAGCCAUACCGCGUGGGUGAAGAAGGCCUUCGGGUUGUAAAGCCCUUUUGUUGGGAAAGAAAAGCAGCAGGUUAAUACCCCGCUGUUCUGACGGUACCCAAAGAAUAAGCACCGGCUAACUUCGUG